AUUGAACGCUGGCGGCAGGCCUAACACAUGCAAGUCGAGCGAGUGGCGGACGGGUGAGUAAUGUAUGGGGAACUGCCCGAUGGAGGGGGAUAACUACUGGAAACGGUGGCUAAUACCGCAUACUAUCGGAUGUACCCAUAUGGGAUUAGCUAGUAGGUGGGGUAAAGGCUCACCUAGGCGACGAUCCCUAGCUGGUCUGAGAGGAUGAACAGCCAAACUGGGACUGAGACACGGCCCAGACUACUACGGGAGGCAGCAGUGGGGAAUAUUGCACAAUGGGCGCAAGCCUGAUGCAGCCAUGCCGCGGGUAUGAAGAAGGCCUUCGGGUUGUAAAGUACUUUCAGCGGGGAGGCGUUACCCGCAGAAGAAGCACCGGAUAACUCCGUGCCAGCAGCCGCGGUAAUUC
rnacentral:rRNA from 1 species